UCGAAUUAUAAGCGAGGGUUGUCGCUGGCCUCGAAAGAGGCAUGUGCACGCCCGAGCUCUUAAAUCCACAACACACCUGUGAACCCACCGUAGGCCUUCGGGCUUAUGUAUCAUAUACUCUGAAUGUGUCAUAGAAUGUUCAUGUUGCCUUAAAACGCAAUCAAAUA
rnacentral:misc_RNA from 1 species